CAGUAGCCGCGGGAAUACGUAGGGUGCAAGCGUUAAUCAGAAUUACUGGGCGUAAAGCGUGCGCAGGCGGUUUGUUAAGACGGAUGUGAAAUCCCCGGGCUCAACCUGGGAACUGCAUUCGUGACUGGCCAGCUAGAGUAUGGCAGAGGGUGGUGGAAUUCCACGUGUAGCAGUGAAAUGCGUAGAGAUGUGGAGGAACACCGAUGGCGAAGGCAGCCCCCUGGGCCAAUACUGACGCUCAUGCACGAAAGCGUGGGGAGCAAACAGGAUUAGAUACCCCAGUAGUCCCUGUCUCUUAUAC
rnacentral:rRNA from 1 species